rnacentral:tRNA from 1 species
UGGUAAUUAGUUUAAAUUAAAACAAGUGAUUUCGACUCACUAGAUUAUGACUGGUCAUAAUUACUAA